GGAGUUGUGGCUCAGUGGUAGAGCACUUCCCUCACAUGUGUGAGGCACUGGGUUCGAUUCUCAGCACCA
rfam:Ictidomys tridecemlineatus contig059846, whole genome shotgun sequence.